CACUCGGUAGCACAUGGUGUGCGUCUGCAGGAUAUGUGUGCUCGAAAGAUGUUUCCGCAGAAGGUCCCUGUUCGAUUCGGGGUCGAGUGA